rnacentral:rRNA from 1 species
GGCUCAGAUUGAACGCUGGCGGCAGGCCUAACACAUGCAAGUCGAGCGGAUGAAAGGGGCUUGCUCCUGGAUUCAGCGGCGGACGGGUGAGUAAUACGCAGGAAUCUACCUAGUAGUGGAGGAUAACGUUUCGAAAGGGACGCUAAUACCGCAUACGUUCUGAGGAAGAAAGCAGGGGAUCGUAAGACCUUGCGCUAUUAGAUGAGCUUGCGUCCGAUUAGCUAGUUGGUGGGGUAAAGGCCUACCAAGGCGACGAUCGGUAACUGGUCUGAGAGGAUGAUCAGUCACACUGGAACUGAGACACGGUCCAGACUCCUACGGGAGGCAGCAGUGGGGAAUAUUGGACAAUGGGGGCAACCCUGAUCCAGCCAUGCCGCGUGUGUGAAGAAGGCCUUCGGGUUGUAAAGCACUUUAAGCGAGGAGGAAGGUUUAUAGGUUAAUACCCUAUAGAAUUGACGUUACUCGCAGAAUAAGCACCGGCUAACUCUGUG